AUACUCGUCUUCAGGAAUGAGUUAAGAAAUUGAAACGCGCAUCGUCUUGGUAAUUUUUGCAUCUGUAAUCGAUCCACAGAGGUUUCUACGUGGCUUUCAACGCGGGGGAAUACGAGCGGGAACCCGUAGACGCGAAAGAAAGGCAUAAAGAGCGAUCCACUUCGAGACGUAUCAACAGAUACACGAACGGACCCUACAGCGGAUACGGAAACGGAAGCAAAACGAGUGUCGUGGUGAGGGGAAACCAUGUCACAGAGGAGCUACGAGGAGGAGAGGCACGUGCCCGGUAUUUAGGAGAGGCAGUAACGUAACAAUAGCCACGUAGCGCCUCGCAUUUUCAUCAAACAACCGAGUGCCACGGCUGGAUCAUAACGACAGAGAACCGGAUGCUGCUUCUUGUCAGCCGGGAAGACACCGCGCGGCAGCGAGAAGCAUUGCGCUCGCCGCCCUCGCCGCCCUCCGCUUGUCAACACGUUCUUUCCAGCGGAGUUCGAGCGUUCCCUCCGGUUCCGCAGUGCCCGCCAGCGGAAACGCAGGAUCAGCGUUUGUAUUACAACUCCGCCACGCGUAUCGGUGAGUAACGGAUUACUUUUUUAUUUUUACUUAAGCUAAUGAAUUUAUGGAAUGAAUAUCCUACAUACGUAAUUAAAAAUUCGAAUAAUAUAUAUGGCGUUACAAUAUUUUAUAGAUCCAAUAUUUCAUAGAUACAUUAUCUUAAAAAUGUGGAUGGGCUAAGACAGAUUUGUGCAGAUAUUUCGAGAGGUAAACCGCUGAGGGCAUUGUGGCGU